rnacentral:tRNA from 1 species
GAAUCCAUGGCUCAGUUGCAGAACAUCUGUUUGACAUGCAGAAGGUCCCAAGUUCAAUUCCUGGUAUCUCCA